rnacentral:rRNA from 1 species
ACGGCGAGUGAAGCGGUAACAGCUCAAAUUUGAAAUCUGGCCUCACGGUCCGAGUUGUAAUUUGUAGAGGAUGCUUCGAGCAUGGUCUGGCCUAAGUUCCUUGGAACAGGACGUCAUAGAGGGUGAGAAUCCCGUAUGCGGCCAGGUGCCUACGCUCAUGUGAAGCUCCUUCGACGAGUCGAGUUGUUUGGGAAUGCAGCUCAAAAUGGGUGGUAAAUUUCAUCUAAAGCUAAAUAUUGGCCAGAGACCGAUAGCGCACAAGUAGAGUGAUCGAAAGAUGAAAAGCACUUUGGAAAGAGAGUUAAACAGUACGUGAAAUUGUUGAAAGGGAAGCGCUUGCAACCAGACUUGCGCGCGGCCGAUCAUCCGGUGUUCUCACCGGUGCACUCGGCCGUGCUCAGGCCAGCAUCGGUUUUGGCGGCUGGAUAAAGGCCCUAGGAAUGUAGCUCCUCUCGGGGAGUGUUAUAGCCUAGGGUGCAAUGCAGCCUGCUGGGACCGAGGACCGCGCUUCGGCUAGGAUGCUGGCGUAAUGGUUGUAAGCGGCCCGUCUUGAAACACGGACCAAGGAGUCUAACAUCUAUGCGAGUGUUUGGGUGUCAAACCCAUACGCGUAAUGAAAGUGAACGGAGGUGAGAACCCUUAAGGGUGCAUCAUCGACCGGUCCUGAAGUUUACGGAAGGAUCUGAGUAAGAGCAUAGCUGUUGGGACCCGAAAGAUGGUGAACUAUGCCUGAAUAGGGUGAAGCCAGAGGAAACUCUGGUGGAGGCUCGCAGCGGUUCUGACGUGCAAAU